rnacentral:rRNA from 1 species
CCUGACUGCUAUCGGAUUGAUACUAAGCCAUGCGAGUCUUUGCAGUAAUGCAAGGCAUACGGCUCAGUAACACGUAGUCAACUUACCCUAUGGACGAGGAUAAUCUCGGGAAACUGAGCAUAAUACUCGAUAGAUCAUAAUGCCUGGAAUGGUUUAUGGUUGAAAUGAUUCGUCGCCAUAGGAUGGGACUGCGGCCUAUCAGCUUGUUGGUGAGGUAAUGGCCCACCAAGGCGAUUACAGGUACGGGCUCUGAGAGGAGAAGCCCGGAGAUGGGUACUGAGACUAGGACCCAGGCCCUAUGGGGCGCAGCAGGCGAGAAAACUUUGCAAUGUGCGAAAGCACGACAAGGUUAAUCCGAGUGAUUUCUGCUAAAGAAAUCUUUUGCAAGUCAUAAAACCACUAGUGAAUAAGGGGUGGGCAAGUUCUGGUGUCAGCCGCCGCGGUAAAACCAGCACCUCAAGUGGUCAGGAGGAUUAUUGGGCCUAAAGCAUCCGUAGCCGGCUCUGUAAGUUUUCGGUUAAAUCCAUGUGCUCAACGCAUGGGCUGCCGAAAAUACUGCAUAGCUAGGGAGUGGGAGAGGUAGACGGUACUCGGUAGGAAGGGGUAAAAUCCUUUGAUCUAUCGAUGACCACCUGUGGCGAAGGCGGUCUACCAGAACACGUUCGACGGUGAGGGAUGAAAGCUGGGGGAGCAAACCGGAUUAGAUACCCGGGUAGUCCCAGCUGUAAACGAUGCAGACUCGAUGAUGCAUUGGCAUAUAGCCAGUGCAGUGUCGCAGGGAAGCCGUUAAGUCUGCCGCCUGGGAAGUACGUACGCAAGUAUGAAACUUAAAGGAAUUGGCGGGGGAGCACCACAAGGGGUGAAGCCUGCGGUUC